rnacentral:lncRNA from 1 species
AGAGUUUGAACUUAUUGAACUAGAAGAUCAAACUAUUAUGGAUCAAUCACAACUGAAGGUUGAGCGGCUUCUGAUUUGCCUCCUGGAGAAGAUGGUGAAGGCAAAAAAAUAUUUUGUGCUCUCCGAUUCACUAUUUUUUUAAUAAAUUUUUGGGCAAAGCUCUUCUUCUAGCACUAUUCUGUUGUUGUAAAACUUCGAAGGUAGAAUGGUAAGAUCGGUCAAGAACCAAGCUGGAGUGCUGAAGAGGAUCUAGUUGACGAAGUUCAUAAGUAAUCCUGCAAAAGGAGUCC